rnacentral:sRNA from 1 species
CUUUAACAAUCCGGAACAAGCUGAAAAUUGAAACGACGCAGCGCGUUAUUCCUCCGUAAUAAGGAAUGACAAAGCGAUGCGUUCGAGUCUCUCAAAUGCUUGCAACUCGCAGCGUUGAAAAACGCCUGUGG